CACCCUCCAAGCCUAAGUACUCCUUACCGACCGAUAGUGAACCAGUACCGUGAGGGAAAGGCGAAAAGAACCCCUGUGAGGGGAGUGAAAUAGAUCCUGAAACCGUAUGCGUACAAGCAGUCGGAGCGGACUUGUUCCGUGACGGCGUACCUUUUGUAUAAUGGGUCAGCGACUUAGUGUCUGUAGCGAGCUUAACCGAGUAGGGGAGGCGUAGGGAAACCGAGUCUUAAUAGGGCGCUUUAGUUGCAGGCACUAGACCCGAAACCGGGCGAUCUAUCCAUGAGCAGGUUGAAGGUUGAGUAACAUCAACUGGAGGACCGAACCCACUGUCUUUGAAAAGCCAGGGGAUGACUU
rnacentral:rRNA from 1 species